UUAAGUCUGCAAUAAUAUGCUUGUAUUCGACUAUUACCCUAGUUCAAGACCCUUCGAAAGGAUGCUCUAAGAGUAGCUUCAUUGCGGAACGAAAGGAAACCUCUUUUCCCGAAAAAAGAGAGGACGAAUGCACUAGCAGUUCUCACACAGACGGCUGGGGCUUCUUUCUCUUCUUGUCUCUAAGCAAAUCUGUUUUUUUCACCUAGCCAUUAGUCAGUACCCGGAGAAAGUGAGAGAAGGCUGCAGAAGAUCUGUAAAGACUCAUGCACAGACUCUUGGAUGGUUUUUUUAAAUUGGCGCUGUAGACAGACAAGGAUGAAAGCCCAUUCCUAAGGUAAUAAGGAAAGACAGAAACAGAGACAUUAUAGGCAUUUACUUCCUGCAUUUAACGAUGUCAAUCCACAAAGACCUGAAAAUGCAGCUUCUAUUUUUGCUCUGGAUUUGGAGAAAGUUAUGGCCAUUGUGAAUCAAGCUGCCUACGGAUCCUGGCUGGAGAAGAAUGUGUCAGAAACGUGGUUUUCAAAUAUGAACUUGAUAAGAUCAAUAUGAAUUAUGUGGGGAAGGAAUAAUGGCAAAGAAAAAGAAUGGGCAGAAAAUAUAAGCGUUCUUUCCAAAGAAUUUAGGGCAAAAGGAGGUUCUUCUAAACGGGAGGUAUUAAGAAGCUGAGUUCUUCAGUUUUAGAAAACUAAAAAGAUACGUUUCUUUAUGAUGCAAGAAUAGAUGUGGAAUCACGAUUUUUCACAUAGUCUGUCUUUGAGGUUCUGGAUCUAAAAGAAAAUGAGCCAAGAUAUGGAGUGAUAUGAGACGACGAAACACCAGGAACUGUUGCAGCUCUUUUUAGUGUCAGCUCCUUAUAUAUACUCAUACCUCAUACACCUUAUGCCUGAAGGAAAACAACUCACAGGUACCAAGUAAAUUGUGAUCAGAGUAUCAACGCGGGGCAUUCAAUAGUGCAGGGCAAAGGAAGAACCUUUAUUUCUACAAAUUCCAAAAACGAUAACAGUGAUAUUAUAAAAACAGCUGAUUACGAUACUUAAAAACCUAGAAUGGGCUCAGAAUUUCCUUAAGUUCUAUAAUCUUUGCAGAACUUGAUAUGACUGAAGAAAAUGACAAUAGACUCGUAAUUUUAUAAUGUUUUAAAAUUAUCUGGAUUCUGUCCCCAAUCAACUGCAAGUUAACUAGUUAGGAGAUAAUUAGUUACUGAUAGAAACUGCUCAGAAUCAUUGGCUUUUCUAUGAGCUAUUGAGAACUCUCGCCAAGAUCCAUUUAUAAUACGGUCUUCAUGGAGAAAUCAUGAAUAAAUUCAUAGAUUCAUGGAUUGUAAGGCUGGAAGGGACCUGAGAAGAUCGAGUCCAGGUCCCUGCACCAGACAGGAAAGAGAGGUGGGGUCAGGUGACCCCAGCAAGAUGACUAUCCAGUCUCUUCUUGAAGAUUUCCAGGGUAGGCGAUUGCACCACCUCUGGAGAGAGCUUAUUCCACAAUCUGGACACCCUAAGUGUGAAAAAGUUUUUCCUGAUGUUGAGCCUGAAAUGGUCUUCCAUGAGUUUGUGGCCAUUAAUUCCGGUUCUCCCCAGGGGCCCCUGGUAAACAGUUGUUCACGGAGCCCAUUGGCAACAGGUAGGGGGUGCACGUGCACCCCCUGAACUUGGCAGUGCACCCCAAUCACUGCUGGCUACCGCCGAUGCUGCCAGCAAUGUCUGCGGCCAGCACCCCCCCCCUCCCCCUGCAGAUAGUGCUGCAACUGCCUGUGGGAGCUCACUGCUCACUGCCACCAUGCUCCUGCUGGCGACAGCGCUGCUGCUGCUGCCUGUGGAAGCUCGCCGUGCCCCCCAGCCUCCAGGAGCAUGUGGUGUUCAUGACCCUGCCCCUGAUGUACUUCCCUGACCUAGUGGUAAACUGCUACCGAGUCCACUCUCAGCCUUCUCUUUUUCAGGCUAAAGAGUCCUAGGUCCCUCAGCCUUUCUUCAUAUGGGUUUCCGUUCAAUCCUCUAAUCCUACAGGUGGCCCUUCUCUGGACUCUCUCAAGUUUUACCAUGUCCUUGUUGAAGUGCAGCACCCAGAACUGGAUGCAGUACUCCAGCUGGGGUCUCACCAGUGCCAAGUAGAGCAGAAGAAUCACCUCCUUGGUCUUGUUGGAGAUACAGCAUUCGAUGUAUGUCAGAGUAUUAUUUGCCCUGCUGGCAACAGAGUCGCAUUGCCGGCUCAUAUUCAUGCUCUGGUGUAUUAUUACUCCCAGGUCUCUUUCAUUCGUAGUGCUGGUCAGGUUGGCAUGGCCAAGCCUGUAGGUGUGCAGGGGAUUGUUCAUCCCCAGGAGGACCACUUUACAUUUUUCAACAUUGAACUUCAUCUGGUUCUGACUCGCCCAACUUGCUAGUUUGUCUAGAUCCACCUGUAUCUAUAGCCUAUCUUCAAGCGUGACCACACUUCCCCAUAACUUGGUUCUAUACUUUUCAACAUCUUCAUCAAUAAUUUGGAUGAGGGUGUGAAGAGCUCACUGGCCAAGUUUACAGAUGACACCAAGUACCGACCCCUGCGGGACACCACUGCUCAGUUCUCACCAGGAUGACACAGAUCCAUUCAUUAGGACUCUCUGGGUCCUACCCCAUAGCCAGCUUCAUACCCACCUAACCAUCCCACAGUUAAGCCCACUAUCUUCCAAUUUUUCACAAGAACAUCAUGGGAUACCAGAUCAAAGGCUUUUAGGAGUCAAGGUAUACAGUAUCUACCAUUUCUCCUUUAUCCAGGUGGUGAGUCACCUGAUCAUAAAAGGAAAUUAGGUUAGUUAGACAAGACCUACCCUUGACAAAGCCAUGAUAGCUGUCAUUCAGAAUCCUGCCUUCUGCAAGCCUAUCACACAUAGACUCCUUAAUGGAUUCUUCCAGGAUUUUCCCUGGGAUAGAAGUUAGGCUAAUUGGCCUAUAGUUACCUGGGUCCUGCCUCCUCCCAUUCUUGAAGAUGGGCACAACAUUGGCCCUCUUCGAGUCCUCAGGGACCUCUCCAGAGUGCCACGAGUUUUGGAACAUUUUUGCCAGUGGCUCCACAAAGAUGUCAGCCAGCUCCUUCAGCAUCCUCAGAUGGAGUUCAGCCAGUCCUGCUGACUUACAUAUGUCUAAUUUCUUUAAAUGAUCACACACCGGUUCUACGACAACAGUAGGGAGGUAGUCAUUUCUGCCCUGCUCAUUCUGUAUCUUGUCGGUCAUGAUUUUCCCCGUGUCCCACUGAAACACCGAGGCAAAGUAGUCAUUCAGGAGUUCAGGUUUCUCUUGAGUGUCGUUUAUCAGCUGUCCUGAGUUGUUGAGCAGUGGCCCCACACUCCCAUUUGCUUUCCUCUUGUUCCUUACAUACCUAAAGAAGGACUUUUUGUUGUCCUUGAUUCCCGUUGCUACUCUAAGUUCAGCCUUUCUAAUUUGUCUCGCUACAAGUGCGGGUGGUUGUUGUAUAGUCCUGCUUGGGGCAUGUCCCCAGCUUCCAUUGUUUGUAUGCCUCUUUCUUCUUUCUAAGAAGGACCGUGAUUUCCCUGUUUAGCCAGGAGGGCUUCCCAGCCCUUUUGCUGCCCUUUCUCCAUGUGGGAAUGGACUUCCUUUGUCCGUUCCCAUCCAAAGACAUCUAUGUAUAGGCAGAUACUUCUGACUUUUUCUAAACCAGCAAGAAACUGAUUUUCCCAACCAGUAUGACUCCACAGCAAAAGAUUUUUUUUACACUCAUACAUUAAUGCAUAUAUGAAAGAAGAGAAGAGCUGUAUUCCAGUGUAUUUAAUAACUUGACUGUGAUUUCAUUUCUUUUCAAGCUUCUGUCCUGAUUAUGAUAACCCUUGAGCUUUAUAACACAAAAGCUCUAGAAAUGAACAUAGCAAAUCUAAGAUUUAGAUAUAGCACCCUAAAAAUUCAAACUUAUGCAUUAUCUAUUAAAUAGUGUAUUUGACGGUUUACUUUUUGCUUUUAGCUCCCUUUAUGGGAAUAACAGUCAGGAAACUUUCAAAACAAGAAAACCAAAAGAGAAACUUCUGGACACUGUCUGCUACCAGCGCACAGCUUCCUGAGUCAUUGUAUAUACAUAAUUAUACCUACAUUCAUGCACCUUUUCCAAAAGGAAAUAUGGGCAGAGAUUAAUGUAAGUGUCUCAGACCCUUCCUAAAAGUUUACUUCAUGAAUAUCGUCUUACUGGGGUCCAUCUUUUGAUUUAACUAGAAAACAUUUCCAUUAAAGGAGAAGAAAAAGUGUCAGAGAUAAAAGUAAAAAGAAUUAAAAUUCGUGGAAGAGAUGAUAUCUUUUAUUAGACCAACUAGAUAUUUGCAAACAAAUUACUUUAUUUAUUUGCAAACUUUCAGGCACACUUACCCUUCAUCAGGCAUAGGAGAAAGCAUAGACUGUAAAAAUUCUCCCAGGUAGAAAUGAAAAAUCAUAUUUUACAUGAGAGCUGAAGGUGUGGUAAAGUCUCCUGUUUGGAACAGAGAUAAAAGUAAUGUAUUUGAAACCCUAUCAUGUUGUUCUACCUUAAUACAACCAAGUUGCCCUUUUAUAUAAAAUAAAUAAAAAUAAAGUAUGAUGGAACUACUCAA